UGAGGAAGCUUUGGGCCUCAGAAGAUGGAA
rnacentral:piRNA from 1 species